UACCCGCAGCACAAGUGGUGGUCAUUAUUAUUGGGCCUAAAGCGUCCGUAGCUGGCGUGUUAGAUGCCUGGGUAAAUCGAUGCGCUCAACGUAUCGAAUUCCGGGUAGACCGGCACGCUCGAGACCGGGAGAGGUGUGGGGUACUCGGGGGGUAGGGGUAAAAUCCUGUAAUCCUUCGGGGAGGACCAGUGGCGAAGGCGCUACACUAGAACGGCUCUGACAGUGAGGGACGAAGCCCUGGGGCGCAAACCGG
rnacentral:rRNA from 1 species